rnacentral:rRNA from 1 species
GACGUAGGGCGCGAGCGUUGUCCGGAUUUAUUGGGCGUAAAGAGCUCGUAGGCGGCUUGUCGCGUCGACUGUGAAGUCCCGCGGCUCAACUGCGGGUCUGCAGUCGAUACGGGCAGGCUAGAGUUCGGUAGGGGAGACUGGAAUUCCUGGUGUAGCGGUGAAAUGCGCAGAUAUCAGGAGGAACACCGGUGGCGAAGGCGGAUCUCUGGGCCAUUACUGACGCUGAGGAGCGAAAGCGUGGGGAGCGAACAGG